AACGUAGGAGACGAACGUUAUCCGGAGUUACUGGGCGUAAAGGGCGUGUAGGCGGUUUGUUAAGUCUGGCGUGAAAGCUCUCGGCUAAACCGGGAGAGGUCGUUGGAUACUGGCGAACUAGAGGGUGGUAGAGGCGUGUGGAAUUCCGGGUGUAGUGGUGAAAUGCGUAGAGAUCGGGAGGAACACCAGUGGCGAAAGCGGCUCUCUGGGGGCGAUCUGACGCUGAGGCGCGAAAGCGUGGGGAGCAAACCGG
rnacentral:rRNA from 1 species